AUUGCUUCUUGGCCUUUUGGCUAAGAUCAAGUGUAGGACUCUGUGUUCAUUCAGAAAAUCCUCUAUUUACAAUUCAUGGAGAAUUUUAGGAACUUUAAAAUAAAUGGAACAAAAUUUGUCUUUUAAGCCUUUCCAGGCAGAGAUAAUAAUUUAGUGGCCUCAUAAGGGUAUUUUUG
rnacentral:snRNA from 1 species